ensembl:lncRNA
CCUUUUUUUGGCAGGAGACAGUGCCUGCAUUUUUCUCAUUCAUGCCAAACUGCUUUGCACGGCAAUUAGCUGUGUCCUCAUUUAGUCUCCAGUCCCAAAGGGUAAUGAAAGUCAUAUAUCAUCUUCAAGGCUGCUAAUUAUCCAGCUCAGUUACAGAUCUCAGAGGAGAACUCUGGAGAAGAGAGGCACCCAAAAUUUAUCUUCUUUGGAUUUCUCUCUAUCUGCUGGAGUUCUUGUUUCUGAAGAGGAACCAGAACGUUUACCUUCGUUCCAUUUUUUGAAAUUUCCAAAUUUACUACAGAACACUGUGGAUGCACAGCACAAUUUGUGUUCAGUUCUUUUAGUACAGCUCCUGCUUACACUGCCCAUAUGACUCGACACUUCCUUGAUUUUGGGUGUUGCUGGAAUAAAGAAGGAGGGAGCAAAACUGUGUGUGAUGCU